CAGGCUUAACACAUGCAAGUCGAGGGGCAGCAUGGUCUUAGCUUGCUAAGGCCGAUGGCGACCGGCGCACGGGUGAGUAACACGUAUCCAACCUGCCGUCUACUCUUGGACAGCCUUCUGAAAGGAAGAUUAAUACAAGAUGGCAUCAUGAGUCCGCAUGUUCACAUGAUUAAAGGUAUUCCGGUAGACGAUGGGGAUGCGUUCCAUUAGAUAGUAGGCGGGGUAACGGCCCACCUAGUCUUCGAUGGAUAGGGGUUCUGAGAGGAAGGUCCCCCACAUUGGAACUGAGACACGGUCCAAACUCCUACGGGAGGCAGCAGUGAGGAAUAUUGGUCAAUGGGCGAGAGCCUGAACCAGCCAAGUAGCGUGAAGGAUGACUGCCCUAUGGGUUGUAAACUUCUUUUAUAAAGGAAUAAAGUCGGGUAUGGAUACCCGUUUGCAUGUACUUUAUGAAUAAGGAUCGGCUAACUCCGUGCCAGCAGCCGCGGUAAUACGGAGGAUCCGAGCGUUAUCCGGAUUUAUUGGGUUUAAAGGGAGCGUAGAUGGAUGUUUAAGUCAGUUGUGAAAGUUUGCGGCUCAACCGUAAAAUUGCAGUUGAUACUGGAUAUCUUGAGUGCAGUUGAGGCAGGCGGAAUUCGUGGUGUAGCGGUGAAAUGCUUACAUAUCACGAAGAACUCCGAUUGCGAAGGCAGCCUGCUAAGCUGCAACUGACCUUGAGGGCUCGAAAGUGUGGGUAUCAAACAGGAUUAGAUACCCUGGUAGUCCACACGGUAAACGAUGAAUACUCGCUGUUUGCGAUAUACAGCAAGCGGCCAAGCGAAAGCGUUAAGUAUUCCACCUGGGGAGUACGCCGGCAACGGUGAAACUCAAAGGAAUUGACGGGGGCCCGCACAAGCGGAGGAACAUGUGGUUUAAUUCGAUGAUACGCGAGGAACCUUACCCGGGCUUAAAUUGCAGAUGAAUUACGGUGAAAGCCGUAAGCCGCAAGGCAUCUGUGAAGGUGCUGCAUGGUUGUCGUCAGCUCGUGCCGUGAGGUGUCGGCUUAAGUGCCAUAACGAGCGCAACCCUUGUUGUCAGUUACUAACAGGUUCCGCUGAGGACUCUGACAAGACUGCCAUCGUAAGAUGUGAGGAAGGUGGGGAUGACGUCAAAUCAGCACGGCCCUUACGUCCGGGGCUACACACGUGUUACAAUGGGGGGUACAGAGGGCCGCUACCACGCGAGUGGAUGCCAAUCCCCAAAACCUCUCUCAGUUCGGACUGGAGUCUGCAACCCGACUCCACGAAGCUGGAUUCGCUAGUAAUCGCGCAUCAGCCACGGCGCGGUGAAUACGUUCCCGGGCCUUGUACACACCGCCCGUCAAGCCAUGGGAGCCGGGGGUACCUGAAGUGCGUAACCGCGAGGAGCGCCCUAGGGUAAAACUGGUGACUGGGG
rnacentral:rRNA from 1 species